AUUGAACGCUGGCGGCAUGCCUUACACAUGCAAGUCGAACGGUAACAGGUCUUCGGAUGCUGACGAGUGGCGAACGGGUGAGUAAUACAUCGGAACGUGCCUAGUAGUGGGGGAUAACUACUCGAAAGAGUGGCUAAUACCGCAUGAGAUCUACGGAUGAAAGCAGGGGAUCGCAAGACCUUGUGCUACUAGAGCGGCCGAUGGCAGAUUAGGUAGUUGGCGGGAUAAAAGCUUACCAAGCCGACGAUCUGUAGCUGGUCUGAGAGGACGAUCAGCCACACUGGGACUGAGACACGGCCCAGACUCCUACGGGAGGCAGCAGUGGGGAAUUUUGUACAAUGGGCGCAAGCCUGAUCCAGCAAUGCCGCGUGCAGGAUGAAGGCCUUCGGGUUGUAAACUGCUUUUGUACGGAACGAAAAGCCCUGGGUUAAUACCCUGGGGUCAUGACGGUACCGUAAGAAUAAGCACCGGCUAACUACGUGCCAGCCGCCGCUGUAAGAC
rnacentral:rRNA from 1 species